GUGCUCGAUUUGGCAUCACAUAUACUAAAAUUGGAACGGUACGGAGAAGAUUAGCGUGACCCCUGAGCAAGGAUGACGCGCAAAUUCGUGAAGCAUUCCAUUUUUUA
ensembl:snRNA U6 U6 spliceosomal RNA